rnacentral:rRNA from 1 species
UACAGAGGUCCCCGAGCGUUGUUCGGAUUCACUGGGCGUAAAGGGUGCGUAGGUGGCCUAAAAAGUUUGAUGUGAAAGCUCAGGGCUUAACCCUGAAAUGGCAUUGAAUACUGUUGGGCUGGAGGUUUGGAGGGGGGGACUGGAAUUCUUGGUGUAGCAGUGAAAUGCGUAGAUAUCAAGAGGAACACCAGUGGCGAAGGCGAGUCCCUGGACAACACCUGACACUGAGGCACGAAAGCUAGGGGAGCAAACAGG